UUAGAUCACCGAAGUCAAGCAUCAUUGGGCGCGGUCAGUACUUGGGUGGGUGACUACCUGGGAACACCGCGUGCCGUU